rnacentral:ncRNA from 1 species
GCGUGGGUUGGCCCGCUGUACUGGAUCCAGUGGGCUGGGGGAAACCGUCGCCUCAUUCCCCGCGGGCGGCGGAACGGUCCGGGAGGUGGCUCGCGCCUCCCGGACUGUG